rnacentral:rRNA from 1 species
UUUGAUUCUGGCUCAGAACGAACGUUGGCGGCGUGGAUUAGGCAUGCAAGUUGAGCGAAUCCCAGCAAUGGGGGAAGCAGCGUAAGGGGCAGUAAGGCGUGGGUAUUUACCCUGGGGUCUGGCAUAGCCCUUCGAAAGAAGGGGUAAUUCCAGAUGAUGUCGUGAGACCAAAGGUCCGCCGCCCUGGGAGAAGCCCACGUGAUAUUAGCUAGUUGGUGGGGUAACGGCCCACCAAGGCGAAGAUGUCUAGCGGGUGUGAGAGCACGACCCGCGCCACUGGCACUGAGACACUGGCCAGACACCUACGGGUGGCUGCAGUCGAGGAUCUUCGGCAAUGAGCGCAAGCUUGACCGAGCGACGCCGCGUGUGCGACGAAGGCCUUCGGGUUGUAAAGCACUGUCGAGGGGGAGAAAAGAGAAAUCUUGAUCUAUCCCUGGAGGAAGCACGGGCUAAGUUCGUGCCAGCAGCCGCGGUAAGACGAACCGUGCGAACGUUGUUCGGAAUCACUGGGCUUAAAGGGCGCGUAGGCGGGCUGCCAAGUCUGUGGUGAAAUCCUCCAGCUUAACUGGAGAACGGCCGUGGAUACUGGCGGUCUCGAGGGAGGUAGGGGCAAGUGGAACUGUGCGUGGAGCGGUGAAAUGCGUUGAUGUGCACAGGAACUCCGGUGGCGAAGGCGACUUGCUGGACCUCUUCUGACGCUGAGGCGCGAAAGCUAGGGGAGCGAACGGGAUUAGAUACCCCGGUAGUCCUAGCCCUAAACGAUGAGAACUAGAUAGUAGACUUGACUUGGGUUUACUGUCGAAGCAAAAGUGCUAAGUUCUCCGCCUGGGGAGUAUGGCCGCAAGGCUGAAACUCAAAGAAAUUGACGGGGCUCACACAAGCAGUGGAGCAUGUGGCUUAAUUCGAGGCUACGCGAAGAACCCUUAUCCUAGACUUGACAUGUUCGAAAGAGUUAGCAAGUAGAACCCGGGAAACGGAAACGAACGGUAUUCCAAUUCCGGA